rnacentral:rRNA from 1 species
UGGGCGUAAAGCGCGCGCAGGCGGUUUCUUAAGUCUGAUGUGAAAGCCCCCGGCUCAACCGGGGAGGGUCAUUGGAAACUGGGGAACUUGAGUGCAGAAGAGGAGAGUGGAAUUCCCGUGUAGCGGUGAAAUGCGUAGAGAUGUGGAGGAACACCAGUGGCGAAGGCGACUCUCUGGUCUGUAACUGACGCUGAGGCGCGAAAGCGUGGGGAGCGAACAGGAUUAGAUACCCUGGUAGUCCACGCCGUAAACGAUGAGUGCUAAGUGUUAGAGGGUUUCCGCCCUUUAGUGCUGCAGCAAACGCAUUAAGCACUCCGCCUGGGGAGUACGGUCGCAAGACUGAAACUCAAAGGAAUUGACGGGGGCCCGCACAAGCGGUGGAGCAUGUGGUUUAAUUCGAAGCAACGCGAAGAACCUUACCAGGUCUUGACAUCCUCUGACAACCCUAGAGAUAGGGCUUCCCCUUCGGGGGCAGAGUGACAGGUGGUGCAUGGUUGUCGUCAGCUCGUGUCGUGAGAUGUUGGGUUAAGUCCCGCAACGAGCGCAACCCUUGAUCUUAGUUGCCAGCAUUCAGUUGGGCACUCUAAGGUGACU